CGCAGUGCACCCGAGCCCGUGCAGUGGUUACGGAGGGCGCAUCGGCGCUUUUCCUCGACCUCGGCUCUCCUCCGCCGCAGCCACCGAGCUCGGCCUGCUCUCCAUGGGUCGAGCUGAUAUGGCCCCGCUCAAGGUGAAGCUUUUCUUUUGGAUCUUCAGGCAUGGCAAGACCCGAACGCGCGCGUUCCUGUUCCGGUCCACUUUGACGUGCUACAAAGGCCAGAAAAGGCCCAACAAUUCAAUCCUCCACGGGCCGUGGGCUUGGCUAGAAUCCUCGUCGGCGGCCGCUCCCCGGAGCCGACCCUAACCUGCCGUCUCUCCCGAGCAUCGCCGGUCCCGUCGCCUCAUCUUCCUCCGCUAUCCUCGCAGGAGCUUUGCGUGAGCGUGGGGUGGGGAGAGCGGAGAGCUCCCCGCGGCCACUCGUGUGGGCGUCGCAGUCACGCACAAGCUCUUGGCUCUCGUCCUCACCUGCCCCGCCGCCUUCUCAUGCUGCCGCCGGCUUGAAUCGGCGCCGGCGCCAGGAGACCGCACCGCCGCUGGUAGCCCACGUCGCCACCGGGAGCCUCCUGGAGCUCGCAACGAUUGGACCUCGCACCGCCACAAGGAAGCUGGAGGCAAGAGUAUUGGUGUAUCCUUGUUUUGGAAAAUGCCGUAUCGGCGUACCCGAAUCGCGUAUCGGUGAAACAUAGGUCGCACAGCGAAGGUGUUAUCUCUUGACCAAACUCCCAGCCCUCCCAAAUCUCAGCGGACGAUGC